CCCCAACUCUGGGACAUACAGUAUGAUGCCACCAGUCUGCUUGCAGUUGUCAGUUAUCGUCAGCCAAGUCCCCUCCUGUUCCCUGAUUAAGAGGUGAUGACCACUCCACUCGACUACCAUUGUCAACUCUCUCCUGACAUGAACUGAAGCCAUGUCUCAUGUGCCCUUUCAUCCACUGGCACAUAGAAUGUUUCCUCUCCAAUCACUUCAAAUCCUGUCCUGCACUGAAGUCAAGCCUCGGAACACCUCUACCCAUGCCUCAUACCCUCAUUCAACCACUACUGUGAUCCCUUCCCAAAACUGGAUAAGUUGCUGGAUAAGUUGCCUUCUCAUGGGUCUCCCAUCCUCCUCAAUUUCUCAAGUCACCAGCCUCCACUGAUCAUUUUACAUCCAACUUUGGCUACCAUAGCCUGGACGACGGUAGCCAGACACUUAUCCC